AGCGAACGCUGGCGGCAGGCUUAACACAUGCAAGUCGAGCGGGCACUUUCGGGUGUCAGCGGCGGACGGGUGAGUAACGCGUGGGAACGUGCCCUCUGGUUCGGAAUAACUCAGGGAAACUUGAGCUAAUACCGGAUACGCUCUUUUGGGGAAAGGCUUGCUGCCGGAGGAUCGGCCCGCGUCUGAUUAGCUUGUUGGUGAGGUAACGGCUCACCAAGGCGACGAUCAGUAGCUGGUCUGAGAGGAUGAGCAGCCACACUGGGACUGAGACACGGCCCAGACUCCUACGGGAAGCAGCAGUGGGGAAUAUUGGACAAUGGGCGCAAGCCUGAUCCAGCCAUGCCGCGUGAGUGAUGAAGGCCUUAGGGUUGUAAAGCUCUUUUAUCCGGGACGAUAAUGACGGUACCGGAGGAAUAAGCCCCGGCUAACUUCGUG
rnacentral:rRNA from 1 species